GAUCCUGGCUCAGGACGAACGCUGGCGGCGUGCUUAACACAUGCAAGUCGAACGGGGCAUAGAGAUAUGCCUAGUGGCGGACGGGUGAGUAACACGUGAGCAAUCUAUCCUAUACAACGGGAUAACACAGAGAAAUUUGUGCUAAUACGGUAUAAGACCACAUUCCGGCAUCGGAGAGGGGUAAAAGCUGAGGCGGUAUAGGAGGAGCUCGCGGCCCAUUAGCUAGUUGGAGAGGUAACGG
rnacentral:rRNA from 1 species